rnacentral:rRNA from 1 species
AUACAGAGGGUGCGAGCGUUAAUCGGAAUUACUGGGCGUAAAGCGCGCGUAGGCGGCUUAUUAAGUCAGAUGUGAAAUCCCCGGGCUCAACCUGGGAACUGCAUCUGAUACUGGUAAGCUAGAGUUUUGGAGAGGGAAGUAGAAUUUCAGGUGUAGCGGUGAAAUGCAUAGAGAUCUGAAGGAAUACCAGUGGCGAAGGCGACUUCCUGGCCAAAAACUGACGCUGAGGUGCGAAAGCGUGGGUAGCAAACGGGAUUAGAUACCCGUGUGUCC